rnacentral:rRNA from 1 species
UAAACGACUCUCGGCAACGGAUAUCUCGGCUCACGCAUCGAUGAAGAACGUAGCGAAAUGCGAUACUUGGUGUGAAUUGCAGAAUCCCGUGAACCAUCGAGUCUUUGAACGCAAGUUGCGCCCGAAGCCUUUAGGCCGAGGGCACGUCUGCCUGGGCGUCACAC